UGCAAGUCGAACGAGGUCCUCGGACCUAGUGGCGCACGGGUGAGUAACAUGUGGGAAUCUACCUAAAGGUUCGGAAUAACUGCGGGAAACUGUAGCUAAUACCGGAUGUGUCUGCAAAGAGAAAGAUUUAUUGCCUUUAGAUGAGCCCGCACUAGAUUAGCUAGUUGGUGAGGUAACUGCUCCACCAAGGCUACGAUCUAUAGCUGAUUUGAGAGGAUGAUCAGCCACACUGGGACUGAGACACGGCCCAGACUCCUACGGGAGGCAGCAGUAGGGAAUAUUGGACAAUGGGGGAAACCCUGAUCCAGCAAUGCCGCGUGAGUGAAGAAGGCCUUAGGGUUGUAAAACUCUUUCAUCAAUGAUGAUAAUGACAUUAGUUGAAGAAGAAGCUCCGGCUAACUUCGUGCCAGCAGCCGCGGUAAUACGAAGGGGGCUAGCGUUGUUCGGAAUCACUGGGCGUAAAGCGUAUGUAGGCGGAUCAAAAAGUUAGAUGUGAAAUCCCUGGGCUCAACCCAGGAACUGCAUUUAAAACUAGUGAUCUAGAAAUUGGUAAAGGUUAGUAGAAUUUCC
rnacentral:rRNA from 1 species